rnacentral:rRNA from 1 species
CGCGUAGGCGGCUUGCCAAGUCAGGGGUGAAAUCCUGCAGCUCAACUGUAGAAGUGCCUUUGAUACUGGCGAGCUCGAGGGAGGUAGGGGUGGGUGGAACUUCUGGUGGAGCGGUGAAAUGCGUUGAUAUCAGAAGGAACGCCGGUGGCGAAAGCGACCCACUGGAUCUCUACUGACGCUGAGGCGCGAAAGCUAGGGGAGCGAACG